rnacentral:rRNA from 1 species
GUAGUCUCGCACAGAUGCAUAUCAAUAAGCGGAGGAAAAGAAACUAACAAGGAUUCCCCUAGUAACGGCGAGUGAAGCGGGAAGAGCUCAAAUUUGAAAUCUUAAAGGGUUUCCCUUUACGAAUUGUAGUUUAAAGAAGUGUUUUCUGUUGAGGUUUUGGUAAAAGUUCUUUGGAAUAGGACAUCAUAGAGGGUGAGAAUCCCGUAUUUGACCUUUACUUUCAACUUUGUGAUACACUUUCAAAGAGUCGGAUUGUUUGGGAAUGCAGUCCAAAAUGGGUGGUAAAUUUCAUCUAAAGCUAAAUAUUGGCGAGAGGCCGAUAGCGAACAAGUACCGUGAGGGGAAGAUGAAAAGAACUUUGAAAAGAGAGUUAAACAGUACGUGAAAUUGUCAAAAGGGAAGCGUUUGACACCAGUGUUGUUUUUCUGAAAAUCAAUUAAAGAACUGUUUAUGCUAAGCUGUUUAGACUUUAUCAGCUAUCUGUUUAGUUUUGAGCUUUUCUUUAAUGCACUUUUCAGUUAACAAGUCAACAUCAAUUUCUUUUGCUGUAAAAAAGCUUGAGGAAGGUGGCUUGAGAUUCGUCUUAAGUGUUUAUAGCCUCUUGCCUAUGCAGUCGGAGAGAUUGAGGUCUGCAGCGUAGAUCCUUCGGGGCUAAAUGCAUUUGUGCUAAGUUAUAGCAUUUUAUAGACAACUUGUUGACUAUGAUUUGUCUUGUAGCUUACUCGCUUAUGUUAUUUUACCUACGCUUAGGAUGUUGACAGCAGUAUAGACUGU